CAGGGAAUCUUCUGCAAUGGACGAAAGUCUGACCGAGCAACGCCGCGUGAGUGAAGAAGGUUUUCGGAUCGUAAAACUCUGUUGUUAGAGAAGAACAAGGACGGUAGUAACUGAACGUCCCCGGACGGUAUCUAACCAGAAAGCCACGGCUAACUACGUGCCAGCAGCCGCGGUAAUCCGUAGGUGGCAAGCGUUGUCCGGAUUUAUUGGGCGUAAAGCGAGCGCAGGCGGUUUCUUAAGUCUGAUGUGAAAGCCCCCGGCUCAACCGGGGAGGGUCAUUAGAAACUGGGAGAGUUGAGUGCAGAAGAGGAGAGUAGAAUUCCAUGUGUAGCGGUGAAAUGCGAAGAUAUAUGGAAGAACACCAGUGGCGAAGGCGGCUCUCUGGUCUGUAACUGACGCUGGGGCUCGAAAGCGUGGGGAGCAAACAGU
rnacentral:rRNA from 1 species